CUACGGAAUAGCUUUUGGAAACGAAAGGUAAUACCGUAUACGCCCUCCGGGGAAAGAUUUAUCGGUGAAAGAUCGGUCCGCGUUAGAUUAGCUAGUUGGUGAGGUAAAAGCUCACCAAGGCGACGAUCUAUAGCUGGUCUGAGAGGAUGAUCAGCCACACUGGGACUGAGACACGGCCCAGACUCCUACGGGAGGCAGCAGUGGGGAAUAUUGCACAAUGGGCGCAAGUGAUGCAGCCAUGCCGCGUGAAUGAAGAAGGCCUUAGGGUUGUAAAAUUCUUUCGCUAGGGAUGAUAAUGACAGUACCUAGUAAAGAAGCCCCGGCUAACUUCGUGCCAGCAGCCGCGGUAAUACGAAGGGGGCUAGCGUUGUUCGGAAUUACUGGGCGUAAAGCGCACGUAGGCGGACUUUUAAGUCAGAUGUGAAAUCCCGAGGCUCAACCUCGGAACUGCAUUUGAAACUGGGAGUCUAGAGAUCAGGAGAGGUUAGCGGAAUACCGAGUGUAGAGGUGAAAUUCGUAGAUAUUCGGUGGAACACCAGUGGCGAAGGGGCUAACUGGACUGAUACUGACGCUGAGGUGCGAAAGUGUGGGGAGCAAACAGGAUUAGAUACCCUGGUAGUCCACACCGUAAACGAUGAGUGCUAGUUGUCUGCAGGCAUGCCUGUAGGUGACGCAGCUAACGCAUUAAGCACUCCG
rnacentral:rRNA from 1 species